AUUGAACGCUGGCGGCAGGCCUAACACAUGCAAGUCGAACGAGUGGCGGAAGGGUGAGUAAUGUCUGGGAAACUGCCCGAUGGAGGGGGAUGACUACUGGAAACGGUAGCUAAUACCGCAUACAAUCGGUUGUGCCCAGAUGGGAUUAGCUACUGGGUGGGGUAAAGGCUCACCUAGGUGACGAUCCCUAGCUUGUCUGAGAGGAUGACCAGCCACACUGGAACUGAGACACGGUCCAGACUCCUACGGGAGGCAGCAGUGUGGAAUAUUGCACAAUGGGCGCAAGCCUGAUGCAGCCAUGCCGCGUGUAUGAAGAAGGCCUUCGGGUUGUAAAGUACUUUCAGCGGGGAGGCGUGACCCGCAGAAGAAGCACCGGCUAACUCCGUGCCAGCAGCCGCGGUAAUUC
rnacentral:rRNA from 1 species